AUUGAACGCUGGCGGCAGUCCUAACACAUGCAAGUCGAACGAGUGGCGGACGGGUGAGUAAUGUCUGGGAAACUGCCUGAUGGAGGGGGAUAACUACUGGAAACGGUAGCUAAUACCGCAUACCAUCAGCUGUGCCCAGCUUGGAUUAGCUUGUUGCUGGGGUAACGGCUCACCAAGGCGACGAUCCCCGGCUGGUCUGAGAGGAUGACCAGCCCCACUGGAACUGAGACACGGCCCAGGCUCCUACGGGGGGAGCCAGUGGGACAUAUUGCACAAGGUGCGCAAGCCUGAUGCAGCCAUGCCGCGUGUAUGAAGAAGGACUUCGGGUUUUAAAGUCCUUUCAGGGGGGAGGCGUUACCCGCAGAAGAAGCACCGGCUAACUCCGUGCCAGCAGCCGCGGUAAUUC
rnacentral:rRNA from 1 species